rnacentral:rRNA from 1 species
AUUGAACGCUGGCGGCAGGCCUAACACAUGCAAGUCGAGCGAGCGGCGGACGGGUGAGUAAUGUAUGGGGACUGCCCGAUAGAGGGGGAUAACUACUGGAAAAGGUGGCUAAUACCGCAUACUAUCGGAUAACCCAUAUGGGAUUAGCUAGUAGGGUGGGUAAAGGCUCACCUAGGCGACGAUCUCUAGCUGGUCUGAGAGGAUGAUCAGCCACACUUGGACUGAGACACGGCCCAGACGCCUACGGAGUCAGCAGUGGGGUAUAUUGCACAAUGGGCGCAAGCCUGAUGAAGCCAUGCCGCGGGUAUGAAGAAGGCUUUAGGGUUUUAACGUACUUUCAGCGGGGAGGCGUUACCCGCAGAAGAAGCACCGGCUAACUCCGUGCCAGCAGCCGCGGUAAUAC